CGACCUCGCGAGAGCAAGCGGACCUCAUAAAGUGCGUCGUAGUCCGGAUUGGAGUCUGCAACUCGACUCCAUGAAGUCGGAAUCGCUAGUAAUCGUGGAUCAGAAUGCCACGGUGAAUACGUUCCCGGGCCUUGUACACACCGCCCGUCACACCAUGGGAGUGGGUUGCAAAAGAAGUAGGUAGCUUAACCUUCGGGAGGGCGCUUACCACUUUGUGAUUCAUGACUGGGGUGAAGUCGUAACAAGGUAACCGUAGGGGAACCUGCGGUUGGAUCACCUCCUUACCUUAAAGAA
rnacentral:rRNA from 3 species